UUGAGUAUACAUACAUAUACACCACAGAAUUGUGUGUUACAGAAAGAACUCGACAAUAGGGUACAGUCUUUUUCAUUAAUGAGAUCAGUAUCUAAACUAACAUAUGCAACUAUAAUGUAAAGAACAAGUAGACGAGAAGAUAUGAGGUAUUUUCUGGUCAUCAGAAGCUAGACAUGAAGCUACCUGGCGUAGUCACUCUAUCUCCGGUGUGUAUGCCGCUUUUCAGCUAUCCAGAGCGUCCCAAAGUCGAAAACCUGCGAAUUGGCCGAAACCGAGAUUUCAUAUAUUUGUUCAUCUUUCUUCAACAGGCCUAGUGCCUAUCUAGUUCCAGCAACAACGUCCAUAAAAACCCGAACAGUUCUGGCUUUUAACAAAACUAGAUGUUCAACGAACCAAAUAUUUCAGGUGGAUGUUUGUGGCACAAUAUUGAAGCAAGUUCUGCCAAUAAAUCACUUGUCUGUCAGCCUGGUGGUUUGUUUUCUCCAGCUCUAAAAGUUCUCGCUCG